rnacentral:rRNA from 1 species
CCCUUAGAUGUUCUGGGCCGCACACGCGCUACACUGAAGGAGGCAGCGUGUACUCCUGGAUCGAAAGAUUUGGGUAACCCGCGAAUCUCCUUCGUGCUAGGGAUUGAGGUUUGCAAUUAUCCUUCAUGAACGAGGAAUUCCCAGUAAGUGCAAGUCAUAAGCUUGCGCUGACUACGUCCCUGCCCUUUGUACACACCGCCCGUCGCUACUACCGAUUGAAUGAUUUAGUGAGGACUUCGGACUGAGUCCAAUGCGGCUUUCGGGCUGCGUUGGUAUUUCAGAAAGAUGUCCAAACUGUAUCAUUUAGAGGAAGUAAAAGUCGUAACA